GAUAAUACUGGAUAGGCAAUUAUUCCUGUAAUGGUUUUUUGUUUAAAUGUUUUUUCGCCUAAGGAUGAGUCUGCGGCCGAUUAGGUAGUUGGUUAGGUAAUGGCUUACCAAGCCGUUGAUCGGUACGGGUUGUGAGAGCAAGAGCCCGGAGAUGGAACCUGAGACAAGGUUCCAGGCCCUACGGGGUGCAGCAGGCGCGAAACCUCCGCAAUGUGAGAAAUCGCGACGGGGGGAUCCCAAGUGCCAUUCUUAACGGGAUGGCUUUUCA
rnacentral:rRNA from 1 species